rnacentral:rRNA from 1 species
AGGACGAACGCUGGCGGCGUGCUUAACACAUGCAAGUCGAGCGACGCUCCUCCUUCGGGAGGAUGACGGAGCGGCGAACGGGUGAGUAACACGUGGGCAACCUGCCCCUAGCUCUGGGAUAACCCCGGGAAAUCGGGACUAAUACCGGAUAUGAAGUCGGACGGCAUCGUCUGACUUGGAAAGUUUUUCGGCUAGGGAUGGGCCCGCGGCCUAUCAGCUUGUUGGUGGGGUAAUGGCCUACCAAGGCGACGACGGGUAGCCGGCCUGAGAGGGCGACCGGCCACACUGGGACUGAGACACGGCCCAGACUCCUACGGGAGGCAGCAGUGGGGAAUAUUGCACAAUGGGCGAAAGCCUGAUGCAGCGACGCCGCGUGAGGGAUGACUGCCUUCGGGUUGUAAACCUCUUUCAGCAGGGACGAAGCGAAAGUGACGGUACCUGCAGAAGAAGCACCGGCCAACUACGUGCCAGCAGCCGCGGUAA